rnacentral:tRNA from 1 species
AUGACGGUGGCCGGCGGUGCGGGUGUCGUCGGUGUCGCCGACGUGAUCGGUGUGGUCGCGGCGGAGCCGACGGUCGCCCCCGGCGCCGUUACC